UUGAACGAGUCUUCUAUGUGGCUGGAUGUAAACCCCCAAUGGACUUUAGUCUUGAACUUGUAUGGUCUAGGUUAUGGACCAUCCACUUCAUGAUUCAUAACAAUUAUUUAUUUAUUUAUUUAAUUAUUUAUAUAUAUAUAUCGUACCAGUUCCAGCUUUUGAUUUUGACCCCAGGAAAUGUUUCACUUUAACAAUACGGUGUUAAAAUAGAAUAAAAAAUAACAACAUCUAUACAAACAAACAAGAAUAAUAUUAUUAUUUUUUGGCAAAAAACAAUCACUUAAAAAUAUCGCUUUUCCUUUACUUUGUUUUCUUUUUCUCUUCUAAUUUUAUAUAAAAAAUGGUGAUAAUGUUCGCAUAAUAUGAUGUAUGGCCGAGAAGGUACUUUGUGACUGAUUUGAAGUAUGAAAUGCUAUGAUUUGAAUGGCUGCCGGGAUGAAUCAGUUAUAAUUACAACUAAUUUAUAGUAUGUAUCAAGUAAGAUAGUUCGAGAUAUUAUUUAAAUGUUGCAACUUCUUCUUCUUUUUUAACCACAUGUUGCACCUUCUAUAGACUAAAAAUGCUGCAUCGAGAAGGUGCAAAUGAUUAGAACUUAGUUUUGACGAAAUCAUAUUUAUGGACUAAUCAUGCUGUUUACGAUGGUUUCUAUCGGUUCUUGACAUGCACAAAUUGUAGAUCAGCAUAUCUACAAAAUUUGUAAUGAAUUAGUAGAAGUGGUAGAAUUGUAGUAGUCAAUAACCCUUUUUAGCUGAUUUCACUGCGAUCAAUGUGUACUGUCAGAAUUAACCCAACAGCAUUCUGACUCUUACAUUAUCUUCUCAAUGUUAUGUCACUCGUUAGCUUCGAAUUUUUCUGACAUACCUAUAUCCAAUUUGCCCGUUAUUUAACUAAUUUAUCCAAAGGUGUGGGUUACUAAAUAUUAAAUAAUGUGACACAAUGUUGUAAAUAAAUGUGUUAAACCAAGGGUCAGAAUAAAAAUUAAAGGUAAAAUAAGUGGAAAACAAAAUGGUGGAGAAUAAAAAACCACAUAUAAGUGAUGUUAUUUUAACAAGGGUUUUCUGCAAAAAAACCCUCAAUGUGGUUUUUUUUUGCAAAUUAAUCCGCGAACUCAAAAACCCACGGGUCAACCCUCCAAGUGCCAGUCAAACCGCAAUAUAACCCUCGGCCGUAUUUAUGUGUAUUUGACUGUGUAUAAUUUUAACAUUUUUUCAAUACUAGGUCGUUUUGGCGCUAAUUUUUUAAUAAAAAAAAUUUGUUGAACCCCACCUUCAUUGUGCAUUUACGCAAGCUCCCAUGUCCGAGAAAAACAAGGUCAUUUCGUUUUAGAAAUCUAUAUAAUUGCGUUUGUUAAGUAAACAAAUAUAUUUGUUGGCCGAGAUGGUUAUAUAGCAUGCACAUGGUAUUUAAGGUUCAAAUUUUAAACCACGAGUUCAACAAUUUUUUUUCAUUAAAAAAUUAGCGCCAAAACGACCUAGUAUUGAAAAAAUGUUAAAAUUAUACACAGUCAAAUACACAUAAAUACGGCCGAGGGUUAUAUUGCGGUUUGACUGGCACUUGGAGGGUUGAUCCGUGGGUUUUUGAGUUCGCGGAUUAAUUUGCAAAAAAAAAACACAUUGAGGGUUUUUUUGCAGAAAACACUUUUAACAAAAGUGAGAAUAAAACUGAAUUUGUUUUAUUAAGUAAAAUAAAAAUGAAAAGUUAUAUUCUAUUUGGAUGGUAAAUUAUUGAUGAAAUCCUAGAGCACUAGUUUGAGGAAUUUAAAAAUUAGCAAUAUUUUUUUUUCAAAAAUGACCAUCUAUUAUAAUCCAUGAAAACGCAAAACAUCAAAAAUAUAUUAAAAACACAAUGUGAGAAGAUCGCUCGGAGUCUUUUUGUGAUUUAUUGUAACCACAUUUUUCACCACUAACUUUUUUGGGUCUAUAGUGCAACUCUACUACAAACAGAAACACUGUAAUGCAACAUAUUAGGGUCAUUAGCAUAAAUAAAGUUGUGAAAUUUCAUAAAACAAUCACAUGCUUCACGUCAAAUCUUCAUACUGUUACUAAUGUGAUCGUAUGAAAUGAUUUGGUGUCACAACAAACAAAAUCAUUUGAUGUUUAUUGAACAAGAUCUAAAAUAAAAGUAAAUCUGUUGGACACAUCUUGCUAAGAAGAAAAGGAAAACUAAACUAAACUAAUAAGCCAGUAUGAUCUAGGAUUCCAAUAAACCUCCACAAACAAAUCUACUCUCUCUCUUUUUUGUCGUCCACAGCUAAAGUUUAAACCCAUAAUAGAAAAAUAAUAAUAAUUACAGCUCGUGAUUUGAUAUUUUCAUGUCUAUGUGUCUUAAACAUGUUUAUGCUCGUGGUCGGUAUGUCAUUAGUUGUCAUAUGUUUUUUGGUUUCUUUUCGUUAACGUUUGCUAAAUGUUUAAUCUCUUUGAUUAGCAUUCUAUAAAAUAAGUAUUAAUCAGUAAACACACAAAAAAAUGGUCCUGAGAUAGAGAAGAAACGGGAUGUGGUGUAAAUAACGGUGGGACGGGAAAUGUAGAGUAGGGAAGGGGCAUGUGAUUAGCUGUCCUCUUCUCUCUGCAUUUACUCUUUGUGUGCCUUAGGCCCAUUUCUCUUCCCUCACUCUUGUUUUUCACUAUUUUCUCAUUUUAAAUUAUAAUUUUCCAAUUUAUGAAAAUAAAUAAAGUUAUAUAAACCUCGUAUAAUCACUAAAGAAAUUCAACUUUGAGCGUUGCGUAUGGUUGUUAUUCCAUUAUAUAUUUUUGUGGGCCUUUGAAGCGAAAGAUGUAUAGAUUGUGUUAAUCAUCAUCUUCUUGAAAGUAUAUGUGAUUUGAUAUGUUGGAUGGUUAAAUCGGUUAAUUGAUGGUUUAGUUUUGUGAUGUGAUACUCACACUUUGUAAGAGCUUUAUACUGUUUUAUUACACCGAUUUAUUCAAUAUUAAAAAACUCUAAAGUAACAGUCCUAAUGCUUCAUGUAUAUAAUCUGUACGUGGGCUCAAAAAUAAUCCAAGAACCUUAACUAUAAUAACCUAUGUUAUACAUGGAAACGGAAGCGGGUACGUGGAAUCGGAAGCGUAAAGAAACGCAGAAGCGAGAUUUUUUAAAAUAUUAGGAAGUAGGUACAUGUUGGAAGCGUAUAUCUAUAUAUAUAAUUAGUACUAAAAAUUAUAUGAUGUAAAUUUGAAAUAAAGCAUUUAUUCAUUUAUAAUAAUUUUGAAAUGAUUUUAUAUUAAAACUGUAAAAAUACCCAUAAAUUAAGUUUACAAAAAAUAUUAUAUUAAUUAUUUUCAAUACUUCAUAAAUAAUUGACACAAUAUAUUUCAAUAUGUGCUAUAUCUUUAAUAAAAAAUCUCAAUGUAUAAAGAUAAUUUAUAGUAUUAUUUUUUGUAUAUUUAUAACUCAAUAUUCAUUACAAUUAUUAUUUUUAUUUUAUAUAGAUUAAAACUACGGUUUUAUAUUUUAUUGAUAUACAUUGCAUUUUUUUUUAAAACGGAAGCGUGAUUCCAAAACGGAAUCGUAAGCUUCCAACAUGUUUUUAAAGAUAAUAUUUUAGAAACGUUUUGGAAGCGAGAUUCCGCAAGCUUCCACAAGGUUCUGAUUUCGAUUCCGGUUCCGAAGCGGGAAACAGACGUCCGAUGAAGCUUCCAUGCAACGUACAUAAUAACUAUCUGAAGAAUGUUUUUGACCUUGAACUUGCUUUUACGAACUAUCACAGUAAUUAUUUUGUGAUUUAAGCUGUUAAUUCAUUAUUCUUCAUUAACUGUUUACAUAUAUUAAUAAAAAAUAAAAUAUUUGUAUAAAACCAAAAUAAAUUAUGUGAACCAGAAAACCAGCAAAACUAGUGUCGGCAUUUUAUCAGAAGUGUUUUCUUUAAGAACACUUGCCGUAUCAUACAUAAAAAUGUAAUGAAAAUACAAUAUUAAAAUUUUCUGUUAAUAAAUAAUAAAUCGAUGAUCAAGGAAAAUUAAAUAACUGGAACAAUAGCAGUAUGCUACACGCCUUUCUUUUAUUAAACAGAAACUCUAAAAUCAAAUUCAAUUUAUUAUGGUCUCCUAAGCAAAACAUAUGGCCACUUAAAUUAUUGUCAAUUUACAAAUCAUAUACCUUCUAUAUUGUCGGAAAUUAAAAUGUAAUUAAAUAUUGAAAAUCUAAUAAAAAAAUUAAACAAGUUUUCAGCGCCUACAAAGUGCAAAGAGGCAAUGAAGUUAAACAGAGCGAAGAGAAAAAAAGAAGGUAAAAACAAAACAAAAUAAAAUAAAAGUUUGUUCUCUCUCUCUCUCCAUUGAUUUCUACACACAGCCAUCACCGAACCUCCAACACACUUCUCUCUCUCUCUCUCUCUUUGCCUUUCAUCGGAUCUGACUUCUUCCCGAAAACCCACAAUCUGAUUCUUCGAAUUCUUCAAAAAAACACGCUUAAUCCCCACAAAAGUUUCCAUCUUUGACUUCACAAAUUGUUAUUAAUUCCCCAAAAAAGUCUGCGCCUUUCUGUUUGAUCGAAAUCACCGGCGGAGGAAUUUUCCGAUGGGAAUGCCUUCGCUGGCGUCACCAAAGCUGCCAUGAGCAACCACCGCGAGGAAGAGGAGGAGGAGGAGGAGCCCUUCCACGACUCUCUUGAUCGCUUAGUCUCUUCCUCUUCUUGCUCAUGCUCCGCUUCCAACUCCGAUUACGACUCCGAAUCCUCCCCUCGGAUCUCCUCUCAUGACCCCGAAGAGCCAGACGGUGGUGGUGGUCCCCGCCGUCGUCACCACCCAUUCCCCGUCCCUCGGUUCCCAAUGGGCGCUUCAAGGUUCGACCUUUGGAUCUCCGAGCCCGCCUCCGUCUCCGAGAGACGCUCUAAGCUUUUAACCGAAAUGGGCCUAAACCGAGAACCGGUUCGCUCCCGGUUAAAGCCCGUUUCCGAUUCCGGUUCUGACAUUUCUCGAUCGAUCUCGUGUAAUCAGUUGGUCCGGCGAGAUCACGGAGAUUGCUCCGAAACUGUCGGCGGCAGCGCUUCCUUCGUCGUGAGAUCGAAGUCAGAUUGUUCCGUUAGCCAAUGCAGCGAUCGUGACCGUCUUUAUCAUCAUCCUCCUCAGGGUAAUUCAUGUUCUUGUUUUGACUCUAAGCUCUCGCAUUCAGAGAUCAGUAUAACAGUUAGUGCUGAUUCAACUGAUCCCUUGCGGUUAGAAGGAAGUUCUGAUUGUGUGUUAGUGGAUGAGGAAGUGGAAGUGUGUACUAUUAAGAAUCUAGACAACGGGAAACAGUUUGUGGUGAACGAGAUUCAAGAAGAGGGUAGUACAUGGAAACAGGUGAAGGAAGUGGGGACCGACACGCAGAUGACAAUGGAGGAGUUUGAGAUGUCUGUGGGACACUCUCCCAUUGUUCAGGAGCUUAUGAGAAGACAGAACGUGGAGGAUUCUGAUAACAACGACAACGCAUCAACCAAAACAACAAAGGAUGAUGAAGAGAGUAAAUAUAAUAAUAAUAAUAAUAAUGCAUCAAAGUCUAAGAAGAAAGGAAGCUGGUUCAAGAGCAUCAAGAGCGUUGUGACUGGUCACAGCAAAGAGAGACGAAGCAGCGACGAUAAAGACACGUCAUCGGAGAGAGGCGGUCGGAGGUCGAGCUCAGCUACGGAUGACUCUCAGGAAUCUUCUUUCCACGGGCCGGAGAGAGUUAGGGUCAGACAGUACGGGAAGUCUUCCAAAGAGCUCACGGCGAUGUACAAGACGCAGGAGAUUCAAGCGCAUAACGGCUCUAUCUGGAGCAUUAAGUUUAGUUUGGAUGGUAAGUAUCUCGCUAGCGCCGGCGAGGACUGCGUCAUUCAUGUUUGGCAAGUGGUUGAGGCUGAGAAGAGAGGAGAGUUGUUGCUGGAUAGACCGGAGCUGUUGCUUUUGGCUAAUAGUAAUGGAUCUCCGGAACCGACUACUAUGUCGCCGAGGAGAAGAGGGAGGAGUUCUGUGAGUAGAAAGUCGUUGAGUUUGGAGAACAUAUAUGUUCCAGAUUCUGUUUUUGGGCUCUCGGACAAACCCUUUUGCUCCUUUCAUGGUCAUCUGGAUGAUGUUCUUGAUCUUGCUUGGUCCAAGUCUCAGGAUUUGCUGUCUGCAUCGAUGGAUAAGACAGUUCGUUUGUGGAGCUUGUCUACACACACUUGCUUGAAAGUAUUCUCUCACAGUGAUUAUGGUUAGUAGCUAAUAUUAAUUUAAUCUGUUUCUUUCUGUGCUUAUCUAAAUAAUAAUUUGCUCUAUUGAUUGGGACAGUGACUUGCAUUCAAUUUAAUCCGGUUGAUGAUAGAUACUUCAUCAGCGGUUCGUUAGAUGCAAAAGUUCGCGUGUGGAGCAUUCCGGAUCGGCAAGUAGUUGACUGGUAUGAUCUUCACGAGAUGGUCACUUCUGCUUGCUACACUCCAGACGGUCAGGUAAACUAAAUCUGCCAUGUCAUUAUUAUCUGAAGUCAGUAUCUUUUUGGCUUUAAACAGUUUUCUAAUUUUCUAAAGAAUGUGUUGAAACUUGAAGGGUGCGUUGGUUGGUUCAUACAAAGGUAGCUGUCGUCUUUACAGUGCAUCAGGUAAAUGAAUGAAGUUUGUUAAUGUGAUUUUGAUUUUUUACCGUUUCCUAAUGCGUUAACAUUAAGUGACGUGUUGUUUUAUUUUUCCCCAGAUAACAAGCUGCAACAGAAAAGCCAGAUAAAUUUACAGAACAAGAAGAAGAAAGCUCAUCAGAAAAAGAUAACUGGUUUCCAGGUAAUGAGAGAAUCUCACUUCUUCAGGAGCAAAAUCUGAGGGGCUUUGUUCAUGAGACGGCACUAAAAGUUGCUUGCUUGUGUCUCAUUUCAUCCCAUAGUUUGUGCCUGGAAGCUCAUCUGAAGUGCUAGUCACAUCUUCGGACUCUCGGAUCCGCGUUGUUGAUGGAACUGAUCUAGUUACCAAACUCAAAGGUAAAACAAAAACAAACAAAGUUUCAAGCUUUGUCUUCUGUUUACUUCAUUCGCAAGCAAAAGUAAUCAAUCGUUUUUUUCACUAUUUGACAGGGUUUCGAAACACGAGCAGCCAAAUCUCCGCCUCAAUAACAGCAGACGGCAAAUACGUAGUGUCAGCGAGCGAGGAUUCAAACGUGUACAUAUGGAAGUACGAAUCCCCUGCUUCUCGACCAAGCAAGAGCAACAGCAGCAGCAACAAGAACGUCACAGUCACAAACUCGUACGAGCAUUUCCACAGCCAAGACGUCUCCGCAGCCAUCUCAUGGCCCGGGAUGGCCUCAACAGAGUCUUGGGGAGCCACCCAAAACAGAGCCAACAACUUAGACGAAGUCUCCACAGCUAACCAUCCACCCACACCUGUGGACCAGCCAGGGACAACAACUCUGGACCGACUCAACAGUCCACGUAACGGGAUCAUUUCGAGCGCCACAAACGGAUACUUCUUCGAUAGAAUGUCAGCGACUUGGCCUGAGGAGAAGCUGAUGUUUGGGAGGAACAGAAGUGGGAACCGUCUGAGUACGGAUUUGUCUAACUCAGGGAACGUGUCGGCUUCUUGGGGGAUGGUGAUAGUCACUGCAGGUUUGAGAGGAGAGAUUAGAGCGUUUCAGAACUUUGGUUUGCCCAUAAGGAUUUGAUAUUAUAAAAAAAAAAAAAAAAAAUAAAAAAGUGUACAGAGUGAUGGUAAAGAAAAAAAUCGAGUGAGGUUUGCAAUAUUACUAGCAAGUUUUUUUUUCUUCAUUCGAUUUUUUUUUUUGAAGAGGGUAUACUGAUCUUUUUGUAGAGUUUACAGACGCGAACAGUUUUUUUUUGUAGUUGAACCUUAGGCCCAUUUAAACUUCGGCCCAUCUUGUAAUUGCGGAACGUUGUCGUUUUGGUGAUCGUGAAGUGAGUUAAAGGCAGCUUUGUCUUUUAGGUUUGACUCUGUCCUAAAACCCUAGAAAGAGUUUAGCGCUGUUUCUGCAAUAGACGAAAAAAGAAUGGGGAGGAAGAGAAAGCACAGCGAGGCUGAAGCGGCGGCUCCGGUGAAGAAGGAUGACUCUGCUCCGGAGAGACCCAAGAGAACUCUGUUAGGUUGGAAAGAUAAGAAAGAAGAUGUUGAGGAAGCUAAGGAAGUGUCUGCUCCGUCUGCGCCUGGGUUCAGGAAUAAAGAGAAGGUUCUCGUUACUUGUUCCCGUCGGAUUAGUUUCAGGUGAAGCGAGUUGAGAUUUGAUUUUGAAUUUUAAUUUCGUUUGAUGGUGUAGAAGAAUAAUAAUAAUAAAUCAAGUAUCUGUUUGUAAAGGUACCGGCAUCUGAUGUUGAACAUAGUGUCACUUCUGCCUCAUUGUAAGAAAGAUAGUAAGGUGGAAGCUAAGAGCAGUAAAGGCGCCACUCUUAAUGAGCUUGUUGAGCUUAAGGGCUCUUCUUCCUGCUUGUUUUUCGAGGUAAAGUUUCCAUCUUUUGUUGGUACCUCUAGGGUUUGAUGCAUAGAAGAUGGAACAAAUCACUGAACUGAUGGAACUCUUGUGUGGUUCAAAUUCGGUUCAUUUGUUUCUCAGCUUGUAAUGUCACCGUGUCUUAAUUUGCUUGUAUAGAGUAGUAGUAAACUGUGAACUGACGGUAUGUGUUAAUUUUGUUAUGGACUUCAGUGUAGGAAGCAUAAAGAUCUUUACAUGUGGAUGGUCAAGUCCCCUAGUGGACCCUCUGUUAAGUUCUUGGUUAAUGCUGGUAAUUUCUCCAACCCCCUCGUAUUCUGUUUAUAUGUUCUUGUUCGUCUCUUAUGUUUCUGUAUGGUGAAGUUCACACGAUGGAGGAGCUGAAACUCACUGGAAACCAUCUGAAAGGGUCACGCCCUCUCUUGACGUUCUCGUCCAAUUUUGAUAAAGACGUGCACUGGAAACUCUUGAAAGAGAUGUUAACACAGGUCAUUCUCCCAUUUUCAUUCCCUUGUGUUCCUGGUUGGUUAUGGUUUGUACUUCCUUAUGCUAAUUAGUUUUCUCUUGCAGGUUUUUGGAAUCCCAAAGGAACACAGAAAGUCCAAACCUUACCAUGACCAUGUGUUUGCUUUCUCCAUUGUCGAUGACCAUAUCUGGUUCCGUAAUUACCAGGUUGGUUGAAAGUUAGCAAAUCUUAGAGAUCAACUAUAUGACUUGCAGAUUAUAUAUCCUAAUCCUUAGUGAAUGUCUGUUUUUAUGUUCUGUUGCAGAUAUCAGUACCUCAUAAUGAGGCAGACAAGGUUGCGCGAGGUGGUCUUGAUAAAAUGACCCUUGUCGAGGUCUGGCUUUACCUAUUAGUAACAAUAAUUUGCGUAGUUGUGAUUCUUUAGUGUUGAUUGAAAUGAAAAUAUGAUGACAGGUUGGUCCAAGGUUUUGUUUAAACCCGAUUAAGAUCUUUGGAGGCAGCUUUGGAGGUCCAACCCUUUACGAGAACCCAUUCUACGUAUCUCCAAACCAGGUACUGUGUUCUAUAUGCAACUUGAUGAGAAGACAUUUACUGAUGUACCUGUAAAUGAUAUGGUUUUCUGUGUCAAAGUCUUAAUCUUUUUUUUUUUUUUUCAAUUUUGCUCGUCAGAUCCGAACCUUGGAGAAAAGAAAUAAAGCAGGGAAAUUUGCAAAGAAGAUCAAAGCAAAAAGGAGGAAAAAGAUGCAUGAGCUUUCAAACCCAUUGGAGCCUGAUGAGUUUGCAGACAUGUGGAAGGAUGAUGAAUGAUCAAAAGUUCCAUCAAGUUUUUCUUGUUGUAAACUUCCAUAUUCACACAACCAUCACGUUUUUGUCUUUGUACUGCUCUCGACUCUGUUUUUAUCUCUCCCACUUAUGGAUCAAAAGGUGAUAUUUUCUUGCAAUUUAAAGAGUUUAAUAAGUAAAGAGUCCAUCUAAAACUCUUUUCCAAAAUUCACAGAAACAAUACUUUUCAUGUCUUCACUGUUCUUUUUUGUUUUUGACAUCUGUUGAAUUAUAUUAGAUCAUACGAACGUUUCGAAGAACAUUACAAGGCUAUCUCUAGAAGAACAUUAGACAAGGUCCAUCGGAGCUUCCUAAACAGGGUUUCUAAGAAAAAAAAGGAAAAAAAUAAAUGAAAAAGGAAAAGAAAAGAGAGAACCGGUGUUAAAAUUAGGAUUUUAAGGGUCGGUAAGGACCCCUACGUGGCACAUUCUUAUUCUCUCUCUCUCUCUCUCUCUCUCCUUCGUCGUUUUCCAUCUUCUCCAUCGAAAAUCUGUCGAUCUCCUUCUCUGUCGAUUCUCUUUUGAUUCUGAAGUCGAUCGCCAAUCGAUUGGUGUGGCCUCUGAUCCCAUGGCUGCACGUCGAGGAGGCAGGGAACUUCCAAUGGAAGAUGUUUGUUAUUACAAGUGGCCGCUUCCUGGGGCUGAUAAGGUUAGCUGGAGCUGUGAUCUUCUGUUGUUUGUGUAAUGAAUAAUGAUAAGACUUCUCUGCUUAUGCUAACGUAAUUCUAAAUGUAUAUGGUUUCAGUUUGGGCUGUUUUGUGUUUGUGAUGGACAUGGGGGAGCAGGGGCUGCAAACAGAAGCUUGGAUGAUCACCAAUAUGAGGUUCUGAAGCUUGUCUUUUUCUUUCCGUUUCAUGUUUGUCUCCUUUGACAACUUGGCUGCAACUUUUUCAUUGCUUAAUGAACUAGCAUGGUUGUACAGCUACAGUUCUCUUGGUUUGCAAAGACAGUGAAGAACAUUUAUUCGCACAAUGUGCCAAUCUUGGUGAUUCAGCAUAUAAAUUUUUUUGAGCGUUGGACUGUUUUUGUGUUAUGUCGUUGUAACAGCACUACAUCAAACUGAGCGAGAUGGAGAAGAACUGCAAGUUGAAUGACCUUCUUGACGCAUUGGACUUCAAUCAAGUUGUCAUAUUUGUGAAGAGCGUUAACAGAGCUGGGGAGCUGAACAAGUUGCUUAUUGAAUGCAAUUUCCCCUCAAUAUGUUUUCACUCUGGCAUGUCUCAUGAAAAGAGGUUUGUAUAUUAUUUCAUCUGAACCGUCUCGACUUGCUCUUAGAGAUUUUCUGCAGGAGACCAAUUCUUAACCCUUCACAAUGAUAUGAUAUUUAGGCUGACUCACUACAAAAGUUUCAAGGAAGGGCACAAGAGGAUCCUUGUGGCGACAGACUUGGUAGGAAGAGGCAUUGACAUUGAGCGUGUCAACAUUGUUAUCAACUAUGACAUACCAGAUUCUGCUGAUACAUAUCUUCACAGGGUAAAUUUUCUUUUUUUAAAUUCCUAAAAUUUCAUAUGGAUUAUUUUGACUUCCACUUAACAAAGAGAUCUUGUAACAUUACUGUUAUACUCUGUUUAUGGUAUAGGUCGGGAGAGCUGGUAGGUUUGGAACAAAGGGUCUUGCGAUCACAUUUGUGGCAUCAGGUUCAGAUUCUGAAUUCAUGUGUAUGUCUCAGAAUUUUUUUUUUUUAAGAACCUCACUGAGGUUCUACCAUUGGAGGAAGAAAAAUUUAAUUAGACUAACAUGGGUUCUAAACUUUUCAAAUCACAAAAUUAAUUACUAAAUUAUUCAUUAGAACCCUUAAUAGUUUCUAACCAAUGGACUUGCUCUUACAAGGCUAUCUCUAUUAGAUAGAUCAUACGAACUUUUCAUGUGUUCACUGUUCUUUAACUCUGUUUUCUUCUCUCUUAUAUAUGUAUUUUUUUUAGCAACUCUCUCUUAUUAAUUAUUAUAUCAAAAGGUGACUUUUUGUGUUUCUUUUCUAUUUUUGUUGCAAAUUGACUAGUUCAUCUGUAGCUCUUUGCAGUGUAAGAUGCCAAAAAAAAAAAUUUAGUUUCUUUGUUCAUGUUGCAUCAAAGUCAUAUUCACAGAAUCAUCUAACACAUUGUCUUUCUACUGUUGUUUUCUUCUGUCUCUCUUGUGGCUCAAAAAUUGAAAUCUUUUUGUUUGUUUCUUCAUCUAUUUUCCUUGCAAUCUGACAAGUUCAUCUGUAGCUCUAUGCAAUCUAAGAUGCAAUUUAGUCUCUUUAUUGAUAUAGCAUCAAAGGCCUCUAAUUACAUAAAAGAAAGUAAGUAAACGAAAAUGCAACAAGACAUCAGAACAGGAAGAAGUAACAACUAAAAGAGUUUAAAAUAAAAGAAAUUAACGAGAAUUAGCAAGAGCCCAGUUAGCUUCACUUCCUCUCCUAGGAAUGCCAUUAACCUUAGAACAAGCAUCCACUUUGAAAUUAGCUCCACAUAACACACCUUCACUAUCAAUCCUCGGCAUCGCCUUCAUCUCGUUCCUCGGAUGUUCAAAGCUCUUAAGCCCCGUCUCACUGUGAAACAUACACCCUGCAAGAAACACAAAACAUCAAACAAACACUUCAGAUCUAACUCACAAAUGUUAUUUCUUUACACGAAAAAGCUUGUGUGCCUUUGACGGUUUAGGUGGUGGUCUGCGUGCGUUGAUUCGGUUACUAUCAAUUGAUGGUAAUCGCACAACAACAGAUCCAUCGCCAGAGAUCCCCCAGUAAAGACUCUCUCCUCCAUCAGAGCUCAGAGCCGAGAAAACUGAGGAGGUCUGAGUAUCGUAGACAACGAAGGCGAAGCUUCCUUCUAACCCCCUGAGGACUUGAUCAGCAGGGUAAGGACCGCGGUCACGCAGUGUUCGGUAAGCUUCGAUCACGAACAUGGCUUCGCUCGUGUUCUUCCCCGCGAGUCCGUACUGGCGGUUCAACGUGCAGAGAUUGGUUAACGCGCCGAGAAAGGUACAGUAGAUGCCGUCUACACCGCAGAACAGCCUCUGGCGAAGAGGGGUGAUGGGACGGGAGUAGGCUAAGACGGCGGAGUCGCCGAAGGUCAUGGAGAAAGCGGUGUCUUUGUGGAGAGAGAGAAAGUCGGAGAGGGUUUCUCCGGGGAGUUUUGGGUAUUUGCCGGAGGAGUGAGACGCCGGGCUGUUGAGCUCUUCCGGUGGGUGAGCAAAUGCUUUCUGAAAUAUUGCCAACAUCUUUGAGUUUUGGUUUGAGCAAAGUUUGAAUCUUUUGUUCUUUGUUUCGUUGUUGUUGUUGUUGUGGUGGUGAGGAGAAAGUGUUGAUGUAGGAGACUAUUUAUACGGGGUGAUUCCACGUGAUGGUGACUAGGAUUAUUAGAUUUUAGAUAAGACCAUCUUCCGACAUGUCCGACGUGUUCUUAUCCGUUUAUUUUUUUUAAUGAUUCUAUUUUUACCAUUUUGUCAAAAGCUAGUCAAUUAACAACUUGAUUAAAUUCAAUAACUUGUAAGAUUGUCUAUCUUUGUAAUGAUACGAUCUUUUAACGUGCCACGUUAGAAAAAGUACUAAUUUCUUUUUCGCUAACGUUAUAUAAUUGUAGCAUUUUUUAUGGUUUCUGUAAUAUGUUAAUAACAUCUUUUGAUAUAAUAUAUUUCUGUCAAAUCUUGUGGUUCUAGUAGUGGUACAUUGAGAUAUUUAGUAUAAUGUUUUCUUUUAGCAUAAUGUGUUUUUAUUGGCAACUAGCAUUAUUUUAAGUUUUAAAUCAUCUCUUUUCUUUUGUCGUAGCUUUUUUUUUUUUGUGCAACACUGUUUUGUUGUAGCUCUUUUCAAUUUUGUUGUAUGAAAUUAUGUUUCUAUCUAAAACUGCUGUCAAAAAAAUAAUAUCUAAAACUAAUUGAUGUCACGAUGAAAAAGAAAACAAACUCAAAAUAAUAGAAUUCCCCAUUAUAAAAUAAGUAGAUAACAUUAUGAUAAAACGUGAGAUUUCUACUAAUUGCAUCCUUGAUAACUCCCCUUUCUUUUUUAUGUAUUUCGCCGUUGUAACGUUACCGACAUAAUUAAUUACGAAGGGAAAGUUAGAUCAACGUUAAUCAAUUUCUUGUGGAUGUAAGGUUGGAUCCUCGUCAUUCCCAUCAAUUACUCUUUGACUAUGCUCUUUGGAAUUUUCCUUUUUAACACAUCCAAAGAUUCCAAACAAGGAAUGUCUAUUGAUACACAGCAAUUAGGGCUACGAACCAAACCGAAAUGAUCUUCGACUACAAACAUCAAACAUCAACCGGUUUUGAUCCGGUUCAUACAAAAGCGAGCUAAUUUAUUUACCUAUCUUGGAUCAACAAUGUCAACUACGAGAACGGCCAUAAUUGAGAAACAUUCUAACUCCCAAGCAGCCACGGAGUGAGUCAUGAUCAAGCUGAGAUCUUUCGUUAUCUCCAAACCCAAGAAUGCCCGACCAUUGAGUCAUCACAUUUAUACAAACAUGAGCUAACUUGAGAAACAUAGUGUGGUUUCAGUCUAGAGAUGUUAAAAUGGGCCUGAAAGCCCGCGGGCUUUAACGAGCUGACCCGUGACCCAUUUAUCAUCACGUAGAAAUAACCGAGUUUAUAUGGGUUGGCCCUUUAUACCCGUUUUGUUAAUGGGCAUAUCCGUUAAAUAAAUUUGUGUCCGUUUAGGUCUAUUAUAGGUUUAUAAAAAAAUUACAAAUUUAUAUUUAGUAGGGGUUAUUGGUUGUUGUAUUUUAAUGGAUUUGAAAAUCCGAACUAAAUCUAGUGUUAUUGGUUCUAUAAUUUUCAAAUCUGUAUUAAAAUCAUGUGUUAUUGGUUUAAUGAUUCAUAAAUUCUGUAUCAAAUCAAGUGUUAUUCAAUCGUACGGAUUUACUAAUAUAUUUGAUUUUAUAAUGGAUUUGAAUGGAUUUGUUUGGAUUUUUUAGUUAAAAAUACAAAGACUCAAAUCCGAGGGAAAACCUCCGGAUUAAAUGCUUUCUGAAAUAUUGCCAACAUCUUUGAGUUUUGGUUUGAGCAAAGUUUGAAUCUUUUGUUCUUUGUUUCGUUGUUGUUGUUGUUGUGGUGGUGAGGAGAAAGUGUUGAUGUAGGAGACUAUUUAUACGGGGUGAUUCCACGUGAUGGUGACUAGGAUUAUUAGAUUUUAGAUAAGACCAUCUUCCGACAUGUCCGACGUGUUCUUAUCCGUUUAUUUUUUUUAAUGAUUCUAUUUUUACCAUUUUGUCAAAAGCUAGUCAAUUAACAACUUGAUUAAAUUCAAUAACUUGUAAGAUUGUCUAUCUUUGUAAUGAUACGAUCUUUUAACGUGCCACGUUAGAAAAAGUACUAAUUUCUUUUUCGCUAACGUUAUAUAAUUGUAGCAUUUUUUAUGGUUUCUGUAAUAUGUUAAUAACAUCUUUUGAUAUAAUAUAUUUCUGUCAAAUCUUGUGGUUCUAGUAGUGGUACAUUGAGAUAUUUAGUAUAAUGUUUUCUUUUAGCAUAAUGUGUUUUUAUUGGCAACUAGCAUUAUUUUAAGUUUUAAAUCAUCUCUUUUCUUUUGUCGUAGCUUUUUUUUUUUUGUGCAACACUGUUUUGUUGUAGCUCUUUUCAAUUUUGUUGUAUGAAAUUAUGUUUCUAUCUAAAACUGCUGUCAAAAAAAUAAUAUCUAAAACUAAUUGAUGUCACGAUGAAAAAGAAAACAAACUCAAAAUAAUAGAAUUCCCCAUUAUAAAAUAAGUAGAUAACAUUAUGAUAAAACGUGAGAUUUCUACUAAUUGCAUCCUUGAUAACUCCCCUUUCUUUUUUAUGUAUUUCGCCGUUGUAACGUUACCGACAUAAUUAAUUACGAAGGGAAAGUUAGAUCAACGUUAAUCAAUUUCUUGUGGAUGUAAGGUUGGAUCCUCGUCAUUCCCAUCAAUUACUCUUUGACUAUGCUCUUUGGAAUUUUCCUUUUUAACACAUCCAAAGAUUCCAAACAAGGAAUGUCUAUUGAUACACAGCAAUUAGGGCUACGAACCAAACCGAAAUGAUCUUCGACUACAAACAUCAAACAUCAACCGGUUUUGAUCCGGUUCAUACAAAAGCGAGCUAAUUUAUUUACCUAUCUUGGAUCAACAAUGUCAACUACGAGAACGGCCAUAAUUGAGAAACAUUCUAACUCCCAAGCAGCCACGGAGUGAGUCAUGAUCAAGCUGAGAUCUUUCGUUAUCUCCAAACCCAAGAAUGCCCGACCAUUGAGUCAUCACAUUUAUACAAACAUGAGCUAACUUGAGAAACAUAGUGUGGUUUCAGUCUAGAGAUGUUAAAAUGGGCCUGAAAGCCCGCGGGCUUUAACGAGCUGACCCGUGACCCAUUUAUCAUCACGUAGAAAUAACCGAGUUUAUAUGGGUUGGCCCUUUAUACCCGUUUUGUUAAUGGGCAUAUCCGUUAAAUAAAUUUGUGUCCGUUUAGGUCUAUUAUAGGUUUAUAAAAAAAUUACAAAUUUAUAUUUAGUAGGGGUUAUUGGUUGUUGUAUUUUAAUGGAUUUGAAAAUCCGAACUAAAUCUAGUGUUAUUGGUUCUAUAAUUUUCAAAUCUGUAUUAAAAUCAUGUGUUAUUGGUUUAAUGAUUCAUAAAUUCUGUAUCAAAUCAAGUGUUAUUCAAUCGUACGGAUUUACUAAUAUAUUUGAUUUUAUAAUGGAUUUGAAUGGAUUUGUUUGGAUUUUUUAGUUAAAAAUACAAAGACUCAAAUCCGAGGGAAAACCUCCGGAUUUGCGUAUUUUACUUGGAUUUAUAAAUACUAUAUGGAUUUCUAAAUCAAUCAAAAAUAUAUAAACCAAUAACACCUAAGGAUAUUUUUAAGAAAUUUAUAACUUUUAAAUUUUUUUUUUGAAACAAAAUAGUCAUAUUGUAUUUAGUUUGUGUGUUUUUAUUUUUGAAAAAGUUUUUAUUUUUGUUAUAAUUGUGUGUUUAAAACUUACUAUAACUUGGGUGAAUUGUUAUUUUUGAUCCAAGUCAUGCGAUUGAAAGUUAAAAGACUCUAAUGGAGUAUUGAAACAAUAACAAUAACAACGUCAUUACAUAAAACGUCAUAAUGGAUUAACAUGGUAAGAGAGAAAUAAUAACAAAUUUGUAUUUAAAAAAAACUGUAUGUAAAAAAUAAUAAUAAACGGACUCACGGAUCUAAAGAAACAUUUCCAUUUCCAUGUUAAACGAGUUCACAGUUAAAUGGGUUUUAACGGGUUCACAAUUAAAUGGGCAUACGGUUAACCCGCUUUAAACAAACAUGGUCUAAACAGGCCCGGGUAGUCCGCAUUAACAUUCCUAGUUCAGUCCCAGCCCAGAGCACUACUUUGUUCUGUUUUGAACAUUACUUGUGUUUGCUAGCGUUCCAAAUGAGAGCCUUUGUUCACCACUUUCUUCCCAUAACUUUUUUGUUGUUGUGUGUGCGCUUUCAUCAAGAAUACAAUAACCAAUAAUCACUAAGUAUUCCGUCCCACUAGUCCCUAAGCUGAGCAUAUCUCUUUGUAAUGAGCUUCCAAAACACAUUGCUAUAAAUCCUAGUGGUCCACCGACGAUUUUGGUAACCGACACUUUCUGUUUUUGGAAACCAUCAUUAUUUCCAACUACCCAUUUAUGACAUCCUCGAUUAUUGCACUAUGUAUUUCUUCUAUGGAGUGACCUCAUAGAUUUUCCAAAUUGGAAUCAUUUACCAUUGAUAUUCAAUUUUUUCGCUCUUUCCAAUUGAAUCUAGUCUCAGUUCAUACGAAUUUCAUACAUUCCACAGGUGGAUCGACGUCAUUCCCAUUCCAUUACAAUUCAUACCGGAAAUAUCUUUGGUACAGUCAUGGACUAACAAAAAAACAUCAAAGAGAUACAAAUCAUACAAAAGACACUAACCGGUUAACCCAAUCUCAAGCCGGUUCAUACAAACAAGCUUGUUUUAUUUUUACCUUUUGGAUCAACAAAGUCGGCUACGAGAACGGCCACAAUGAAGAAAGAUCUCGGUAGGUUCCAAGCAGCCACGGAGCGAGUCGUGACCAAGCUGAGCUCUUUCGUUAUCCCCAAACCCGAAUAUGCGACCACCUUGAGUCACCACAAUGGUGUGAUACAAACCUGUGCUUACUUGACACACACGGUGUUGUUUCAGACACUCCAACACUCUUGGCCUCAGGACUUUGUCUGAAACUCCUCUGUCAGGGAACCCUAGGCUUCCAAAUCCCAUCCACCCAAAACCAUACAACAAUCCACCUUCCACUAAUACAAAAGUUUUCCUCUUUCUUGCACACACCUGCAAGACAAUGUAGAGUCAUGAUCAGCAUAUCAGUUCCUGCUCAAGAACUCUUAGAAUACAGGAACAAUCGUUGUGCUUUACACGAAAGAAUCUGACCUGGACAGCGAGGCAGUUGUUGAGACUGACUAAAACUUGAGGAGUGAUCUUGUCGUUUUCAUCUCCAUGGCCUAGAGCACCACAGUAACCUUUACCCCAUGUGUAUACCUAAGGGUUCAAAGAACAAUCAAAACAAGAUUCUUCUGAUUUCUCAAAACCAAAUUGAGACAUAGAGAGAGAGAUGGAAACAAAGAGCUUACACGGCCAAUGGAAUCAAGUGCCACGGCGUGUUCAUCCCCUGCAGAGACACGGAGUAUAUGGAUACCUUUUCUUUUAAAAGCCUGAAUGACACGCGGCUGGUGCUCGUCCUGCUGCUCUCCAUGACCAAGACAGAAACUAGAUCCAGAGCCAAACGAGUAAACCGAGCCAUCUUGUGUUACAGCUAAAACAUAGCUCGGCCCCGUUGAGAUUUGCACCACAGGGCCAACGCUUUGAAGAAACUCAACAGCUUUGGGUACUGGUCUGUCCAAGGUAUCGCCAUGACCAAGCUGUCCGUGUGUGUUUGAUCCACAAGUAAAAACUCUACCUUCCCUUGAUAGAAACACAGUGAAGUGAAGCCCUGCAGCAACCUGGUACAGAAGAUGAGAUCAGGAAUGUUCUAUUAACUCAAUUUAGAUACAGUUGGUAUCAGUUUUUACCUGCUUACAAGGAGUUCCCUUCAAAGCCUCAACAAGCUUAGGCCUAAAUAUUGGGCGGCUUAUAUCUAAGUGACCACAGCAAUGCGAUGAAUUAUCCCCACAUGUGAGAACCUGUGCAGGUUUUCAAGUAAGCAUACAUACUCAAUAGGACAGAUUUUUAUAGAAAGAAGAAGCAACCAACCUCUCCAGAUUGCAACACAAAAGCAGAAUGGUUCUGUGUGGCAGAGACUUGAGCCACUUGAGCAGAGAAGGGGAAAACUACGAGAACGGCCAUAAUUGAGAAACAUUCUAACUCCCAAGCAGCCACGGAGUGAGUCAUGAUCAAGCUGAGAUCUUUCGUUAUCUCCAAACCCAAGAAUGCCCGACCAUUGAGUCAUCACAUUUAUACAAACAUGAGCUAACUUGAGAAACAUAGUGUGGUUUCAGUCUAGAGAUGUUAAAAUGGGCCUGAAAGCCCGCGGGCUUUAACGAGCUGACCCGUGACCCAUUUAUCAUCACGUAGAAAUAACCGAGUUUAUAUGGGUUGGCCCUUUAUACCCGUUUUGUUAAUGGGCAUAUCCGUUAAAUAAAUUUGUGUCCGUUUAGGUCUAUUAUAGGUUUAUAAAAAAAUUACAAAUUUAUAUUUAGUAGGGGUUAUUGGUUGUUGUAUUUUAAUGGAUUUGAAAAUCCGAACUAAAUCUAGUGUUAUUGGUUCUAUAAUUUUCAAAUCUGUAUUAAAAUCAUGUGUUAUUGGUUUAAUGAUUCAUAAAUUCUGUAUCAAAUCAAGUGUUAUUCAAUCGUACGGAUUUACUAAUAUAUUUGAUUUUAUAAUGGAUUUGAAUGGAUUUGUUUGGAUUUUUUAGUUAAAAAUACAAAGACUCAAAUCCGAGGGAAAACCUCCGGAUUUGCGUAUUUUACUUGGAUUUAUAAAUACUAUAUGGAUUUCUAAAUCAAUCAAAAAUAUAUAAACCAAUAACACCUAAGGAUAUUUUUAAGAAAUUUAUAACUUUUAAAUUUUUUUUUUGAAACAAAAUAGUCAUAUUGUAUUUAGUUUGUGUGUUUUUAUUUUUGAAAAAGUUUUUAUUUUUGUUAUAAUUGUGUGUUUAAAACUUACUAUAACUUGGGUGAAUUGUUAUUUUUGAUCCAAGUCAUGCGAUUGAAAGUUAAAAGACUCUAAUGGAGUAUUGAAACAAUAACAAUAACAACGUCAUUACAUAAAACGUCAUAAUGGAUUAACAUGGUAAGAGAGAAAUAAUAACAAAUUUGUAUUUAAAAAAAACUGUAUGUAAAAAAUAAUAAUAAACGGACUCACGGAUCUAAAGAAACAUUUCCAUUUCCAUGUUAAACGAGUUCACAGUUAAAUGGGUUUUAACGGGUUCACAAUUAAAUGGGCAUACGGUUAACCCGCUUUAAACAAACAUGGUCUAAACAGGCCCGGGUAGUCCGCAUUAACAUUCCUAGUUCAGUCCCAGCCCAGAGCACUACUUUGUUCUGUUUUGAACAUUACUUGUGUUUGCUAGCGUUCCAAAUGAGAGCCUUUGUUCACCACUUUCUUCCCAUAACUUUUUUGUUGUUGUGUGUGCGCUUUCAUCAAGAAUACAAUAACCAAUAAUCACUAAGUAUUCCGUCCCACUAGUCCCUAAGCUGAGCAUAUCUCUUUGUAAUGAGCUUCCAAAACACAUUGCUAUAAAUCCUAGUGGUCCACCGACGAUUUUGGUAACCGACACUUUCUGUUUUUGGAAACCAUCAUUAUUUCCAACUACCCAUUUAUGACAUCCUCGAUUAUUGCACUAUGUAUUUCUUCUAUGGAGUGACCUCAUAGAUUUUCCAAAUUGGAAUCAUUUACCAUUGAUAUUCAAUUUUUUCGCUCUUUCCAAUUGAAUCUAGUCUCAGUUCAUACGAAUUUCAUACAUUCCACAGGUGGAUCGACGUCAUUCCCAUUCCAUUACAAUUCAUACCGGAAAUAUCUUUGGUACAGUCAUGGACUAACAAAAAAACAUCAAAGAGAUACAAAUCAUACAAAAGACACUAACCGGUUAACCCAAUCUCAAGCCGGUUCAUACAAACAAGCUUGUUUUAUUUUUACCUUUUGGAUCAACAAAGUCGGCUACGAGAACGGCCACAAUGAAGAAAGAUCUCGGUAGGUUCCAAGCAGCCACGGAGCGAGUCGUGACCAAGCUGAGCUCUUUCGUUAUCCCCAAACCCGAAUAUGCGACCACCUUGAGUCACCACAAUGGUGUGAUACAAACCUGUGCUUACUUGACACACACGGUGUUGUUUCAGACACUCCAACACUCUUGGCCUCAGGACUUUGUCUGAAACUCCUCUGUCAGGGAACCCUAGGCUUCCAAAUCCCAUCCACCCAAAACCAUACAACAAUCCACCUUCCACUAAUACAAAAGUUUUCCUCUUUCUUGCACACACCUGCAAGACAAUGUAGAGUCAUGAUCAGCAUAUCAGUUCCUGCUCAAGAACUCUUAGAAUACAGGAACAAUCGUUGUGCUUUACACGAAAGAAUCUGACCUGGACAGCGAGGCAGUUGUUGAGACUGACUAAAACUUGAGGAGUGAUCUUGUCGUUUUCAUCUCCAUGGCCUAGAGCACCACAGUAACCUUUACCCCAUGUGUAUACCUAAGGGUUCAAAGAACAAUCAAAACAAGAUUCUUCUGAUUUCUCAAAACCAAAUUGAGACAUAGAGAGAGAGAUGGAAACAAAGAGCUUACACGGCCAAUGGAAUCAAGUGCCACGGCGUGUUCAUCCCCUGCAGAGACACGGAGUAUAUGGAUACCUUUUCUUUUAAAAGCCUGAAUGACACGCGGCUGGUGCUCGUCCUGCUGCUCUCCAUGACCAAGACAGAAACUAGAUCCAGAGCCAAACGAGUAAACCGAGCCAUCUUGUGUUACAGCUAAAACAUAGCUCGGCCCCGUUGAGAUUUGCACCACAGGGCCAACGCUUUGAAGAAACUCAACAGCUUUGGGUACUGGUCUGUCCAAGGUAUCGCCAUGACCAAGCUGUCCGUGUGUGUUUGAUCCACAAGUAAAAACUCUACCUUCCCUUGAUAGAAACACAGUGAAGUGAAGCCCUGCAGCAACCUGGUACAGAAGAUGAGAUCAGGAAUGUUCUAUUAACUCAAUUUAGAUACAGUUGGUAUCAGUUUUUACCUGCUUACAAGGAGUUCCCUUCAAAGCCUCAACAAGCUUAGGCCUAAAUAUUGGGCGGCUUAUAUCUAAGUGACCACAGCAAUGCGAUGAAUUAUCCCCACAUGUGAGAACCUGUGCAGGUUUUCAAGUAAGCAUACAUACUCAAUAGGACAGAUUUUUAUAGAAAGAAGAAGCAACCAACCUCUCCAGAUUGCAACACAAAAGCAGAAUGGUUCUGUGUGGCAGAGACUUGAGCCACUUGAGCAGAGAAGGGGAACUCCACAGGCGUAAACGCAACGCAUUGAGUAGUUUCUGGUCCAUGAGCAAGAACACCAGACAAACUUGACCCACAAGAGUAAACCUUUGAGUUGUUGAUUAGCAACGUGUGAUACCUUCCUGUUGUUACUUGCAUCUGCACAAAGCAUUAAAGAAAUGCAUUUGUAACUUCUAAAGCGUCCUAUUCUCUAUACCAGUUUCUCAACUAUCACUAAGCUACCUAAGACUACAUAGCAAAGAGAGAAGCAAAAUGAGAUCAUACAUUGCCUGCAGAGGUUUCAACCAUAUCCGAGGAUUGCUCAACAGACUGCAAGAACCUCAAAAGCCUCUUCCAGUUCCCCUCACAGUUAGCGAAAAGCUCCUUCUGCGUAGGCAAACCCAUUCCCACAUAGACAGGAUGCACAGAGCAAAGCUGAGACGCCGCGUAAUCAGCUAGCGACCUGAACUUCAAAGGGUACAAUCCAAAGCAGCUCCCUCCGAAGACCUUCUUCGAGGUCAGCUGUAAGCUGAGCAGAUCAAACGCAUUGAGCCUUCCAGAUGUCAACACCUCCAAGAUCAAAUGACAAGGAAGAUCCUCAAACGAAACAAUCCAGUUUCCGCCAGCCAUGAAUAUGAGAACAGAGAACGUAAAGGACGAGACUUUAUGAGAGGAACGAAAGGCUUAGAUUAUAAAGGACAGAUUUUGAGACGAAAUCUAGAGCAGUUGAAGUAGCGUAUGAAGAAGACGUUGGAUGGUAGGAAGAGAUAGGAGAUCGAAUAGGAGAAGGGAGUUUUAGAUGAGAGUUUCGCAAUUGGUCUAUUCGAAGAUCGAAAACUAAUCAUGAGAAGGGGUCAGAUCGCUAACGAAUCAAUCCCACCAGAUUUCUUCAGAAUUUUACCUGCAAAAAAAAAAAACAGAGUACCAAAACAGAGCAAUCCCUAAUUGAUUCGAUCGAGAAGAAGAAGAGUAAUGUGAAUGCGCGAGCGAGGAGCUUACCUGGAACGCAAAAGCUAUUGACUUUAUUGCCACUAAGAGCAACUCCAUCCAUUAGAACUCAUUAGGGGUUCUAAUGAUUAAAUUAGUAGGUUUAAAAGUGAUAUGAGAAGUUAAGAAUCUUGCCUAGUGGAAAUUAUUAUUUGUUUCUCCAAUGGGAGAACCCCAUAGGGGUUCUUAAAUAUUUUUUUAAUUUUUUUUAUUAGAAUGAUUUAAAAUAAAAAGAUACAUAAAAUUUGAAAUAAAAAUUACAUAAAAUAUAUGAAAAAUACAAAUACAAAUCGUAAACGUGAAAAAGCCGAUUACUCGAAAUCUUGAUUUCUUUCAAAUUUUUGCCAAAUAUGUUCAACCAAAUCAGCUUUCAAUUGUUGAUGUAUUGUAUUAUCACGAACUCGAUUCCGAAUGCUCAUCAUAUUUCCGAGAUUUGAAGGCAUAUCUGUAAAAUACAUGAAAUCCACUUGGGAACUUCGGUUUGAUUCCGGUUGUGCGAAAACUGAUACAUCAAACUGAGUGUACCCAUCUCGUUCGUCUUCUACAAUCAUAUUAUGUAGAAUGAUACAUGCUCUCAUGAUCUUGCCAAUUUUUAUUUUAUCCCACAAAAGAGCUGGAUUUUUGACUAUAGCAAAUCGAGCUUGCAAGACCCCAAAAGCACGCUCGACAUCUUUACGUACAGCUUCUUGAUGUGUAGCGAAUAAGGAUGCUUUCGGACCUUGAGGAAGUGGAAUUGAUUGGACAAAAGUAGCCCAUUUUGGAUAAAUACCAUCCGUGAGAUAGUAAGCCAAAUGGUACUCGUGUCCGUUGACAAUGUAAUUCACUUUUGGAGCUCGGCCUUGUAAUAUAUCAUCAAAAACUGGUGAUCGAUCAAGAACAUUAAUAUCGUUUAAAGUACCUGGAGGUCCGAAAAAUGCAUGCCAUAUCCAAAGAUCUUGUGAAGCUACAGCCUCUAAAACAAUGGUUGGCUUUCCUGAUCCACGUGUAUAUUGCCCUUUCCAUGCAGUCGGACAAUUCUUCCACUCCCAAUGCAUACAAUCAAUGCUUCCUAUCAUCCCGGGAAAUCCGCGUAUCUCUCCUAUAUCGAGUAGUCGUUGAAGAUCUUCUGGCGUGGGUCUUCUUAGAUACUCAUCUCCAAAUAAAUUUAUGAUUCCUUCAACAAAAUUUUCCAAGCAUAAAAGCGCGGUGGUCUCACCAAGUCGGAGGUAUUCGUCGACCGCAUCAGCUGGGCAACCAUAUGCCAUCAUACGAAUUGCUGCCGUUGCCUUUUGUAACGGAGAGUGACCGAACCUUCCAGUAGCAUCUCUUCUUUGUUGAAAGUAAGGGAUUUCAGCGGAGAGUCGAUCAACAAUACGCAUGAACAAGGGCUUGUUCAUUCGAAACCGGCGUCGAAACAGGUGAGAAGGAUAUGUUGCAUCUUCACUAAAAUAAUCGUUCCAUAAUUGCAUGUGUCCUUGUUCUCGUUGUCUUUCAAUGUAGGCUCGUUUCUUUUUUGACCUUGAUGCUUCUUGGCGAUUUUCAUGAUGAAUGAAGAGAUUUUGGAAUUCUUGAUCGAAAAUUUGAUCGGCUUUUUCAUCCAUUUCAUCAUCGAAAUUAGUAGAAGAAGAAGAUGCCAUUAUAAAAUUUUAAGAAAGAAAUGUGGAAAAUAUCUUGAUUAUUUGGAGAAGAAUAAGAAAGAAAGAACGGGUUUGUUUUUUUGGAGAAGACUAAGAAAGAAAGAAGGGUUUAUUUCGAGAAGAAUAAGAAAGAAAGAAGGGUUUUGAUUAUGAGAUAGUGUUGCUCUCUCUCGUGGUUGUACAAUAUAUAAAACAUCUAUGAAACAUGAAACAUCAAGUAUUGUCUUCUUGUGUCACAAGCAAUGUCACAACUCAUAAAGCUAGAAAAAAAAUUACAACAACACUCUGUUCUUUUGCUCACAUGCGUUGCCUUUUGUUCCUUCUUGUACUCUUCUUUUGCUUUUGGUGUCACAUGUAAUGACUUUGUUCCUUGCUCACAUGCGUUGCCUUCUGUUCUUUCUUGUACUCUUCUUUUGCUUUUGGUGUCACAUGUAAUGACUCUGUUCCUUGCUCACAUGCGUUGCCUUCUGUUCCUUCUUGUACUCUUCUGGUACACAAAAGCAAAAGCAACACAAUGUCACAUAGAUGUAUAUAUAAUAAACCGAAUCAACAAAGCAUUUGUUAAGGAAGAGAUUUGAUUAAACAUUAAUUAAGGAAGAGGACAAUGUUACAGACCCAAAGACAUGAAAUAAACUAAAACGAGGACAUGAAUCAACAGACCCAAAGACAUGAAACAAACUCAGACACAAAAGAAACCCGACAUGAAACAAACUAAAAAAAUCUAACUAAUUAGCCAACAUGUCAUUAAUAAGCUUAGUUUUCAAAGCAAUUUCAAGUUCAUCAAGAGGCUCUGUCUUGGCAAUGAGGCUCUCAAGCAAUUUUUGCUUGUUAACCUUAUCCCUCAAGGCAAAGUCCUUUUGCCUUAUGUCCCAAAAACUCUCAAACUCCUUCACCGGCUUCCCUUCCUCUUCGACAGUCCUUUUACCUUUUCCCUUUGCGGCUUUAACACCUAUAGGCCGAGCACUAACUUCAUCAUCUCCAUGGCUUACUGGAACAGAGGUUGAACUCUGUGCGGAUUGGUCAUCUAGCUUCCUUCUCUUGGACUGCACUUUAUCCUUAGUUGUUGAAGCUCCACACCAUUUUUGAUCAUGGCGAAGCUCCAACCAUGCAUGCUCCAUAGUGAAUUUCACUUUGUAAUCAUUGUAGAAAAUCUCAUGUGCCAUUCUCAUCACAUCAUUUUGACUCUGCCCACUUGAUUUCUCUUUCAUUGCAGCCUCAUAGCACCCUACAAACUUGCAGACACCCUCGUUAAUCUUCCCCCACCUCUGUUUGCAGUGAGUCGGCUCUCUCUUUUGCAAACCAGCGAGCUUGGGAGAUGCUGCAAAAUAAGCAGCAAUGCGUUUCCAAAAUGCAAUUGCCUUUUGCUCAUUCCCCACAACAGGGUCUUUCGAGGUGUUUAACCAAGCACUUAUCAAGACAAUGUCUUCUGCUGGUGUCCAUUUCCUUCUCUCCUUACGGUCGUCGAUAGUGUGACCAUCAGCAUUAGCACCUUCACCCCAUUGAGAACCGAAGACACACACGUUCGAGGCAGGGAGUUGUAUACCAGGUUGAAGGUUUGGUUGUUGAUUGUUUAAAAGGUCUAGAAAGCUAGAUUGACUAUAUGAAUCCAUAAGAUAGAGUUUGAGAAGGAGGUAGCAAAGGAGAAAGAUUUUAGUUGAUGAUAGUUUAAACGUGUUGUUUAGAUUUUAAAGACAAGUUUUAGAUUUUUUAGUUGUUGAAUUGGUUAUUACAGAGUUAAUGGCAAUCAAUUUUUUCACCUAAACCUAAAAGAGAGAGAAAACUAAAUGCAAAUCACGUCGACACAACUAACAAAUAGCAUUUCCCUUAACUCUAUUUAUUUCUCAACCUAAUCACACAACUAACAAAUAGCAUUAAAAGUUAAGUCUACUAACCUCUUGCCUUGUGUCUGAGUUUGUUCCCUUGUAAUAAAGAUGAUGUGAUUCCCUUCCCUUAUGCAACUGUAAAGAGAAAACGAAAAGAAAAUGUCAAACGAUGCCUAAACAAAUUCAAAUAAAGAAUUAGCCUUUAUGACAACUACACAGGAGACAUUGCAUUAUACUCAAGCAAACUAAACCCAACUUCUCAAAAAUAACCAUACACGAUACGCAUACAUCGUCUAGAAGGCUCUAACCAAAACUAACAAUCUCAAGAUCUUUUCAAUGGCACAACAAGCUUCAUGCUAGAUACUAGCAACAAAAAGGCUCUAACCAAAACUAACAAUCAUAGAAUCUGCAUCAAUGUAAUAAUCUAAUACCAAAAACUCCUUAAAUCGAGAAUCAUAAGCUUAGACAACCAAUUGUACAUACGAGCCAUUCCCGAUCGUAAUCAAUUUACACACCAAAAUCCUAAAACUAAUCGAUAUAAGAAGCAUAAUCAAAGUUCGAAAUCGGGUGAAGAAACAACCUUUAGUGAGCUAUAUGACGAGCUUCUUAGAAGGCUGGGGGAGAGUAGCUUUCUCGCGUGAGAGAUUGCCGGCAGAAGGAUCGUGGAGGCCGUUUUUGGCUUUCGUCACCGGCGGGGGAAGAGGAAGGGUUUCGUCAUCGGCGUUUCAGCUAUAUGACGAGCUUCUUAGAAGGCUGGGGGAGAGUAGCUUUCUCGCGUGAGAGAUUGCCGGCUGAAGGACUGUGGAGGCCGUUUUUGCCUUUCGUCAUCGGUGGGGGAAGAGGAGGAGCUUUCGUCAUCGGCGGGGGAGUGGAAGAGAAGGUUUUUGCCUUUCGUCAUCGGCGGGGGAAGAGGAGGGGCUUUCGUCAUCGGCGUUUGAGUGGAAGAGAAGAAGGAGAAGAAGGAGGAGGAUGCAUGUCCCAUUCCUCAUUGACCAUCCUCAAGGAUCUACUCAGAAUCGUCGGAGAAGAUGGAGGUUUGGAGAUUAGAGGAGAAAAGUUAAGAUUUUUCCUUUCGAUGAGGGAGAGGAGAGAGACAAUAAUGAGAGGUCGAAUAAGGAGACGCCACGUAAGGGGUGCUUAACACUUCCACAACUGUCUAAAUUAACAUCGGUUCUACUGUGUUAAAUGCUUUUUGAUUUAUUUUUUUUCCAAUUUUUUUUUAGAACCUCCAUAAACACCCGCCGAUGGAGGUGGUCUAAUCAAACAAAAUGAAGCCAAAAAGUCUAAAAGGAGCUUUUUUUUUUUAUAAGAGAAUGAUGAAAGACGUGUGAAGAUGAAUAGAAAAUUCAAUGUCUUGCUUCUUAAGCUUCUUCGUCUUUUGUGGCGAUGCUUCCUCUCUGUCGUGGAGAGAGUGAGUUUGCAGAAUCUUUUGGGGCUUUCAUUAGUCCUCGUCCUUUGCACUCUGUUAUUUGUUGUCGAGUUUGUGGUUGAGAAUCAGAAGCCACAUAAGACAGUUGAACAUGUUGCCAAAACUCUCAAGUUUAUGAGGUUAGCAUUUGACAAUGAGGUUGGAGAAAUCAAUAACCAACCAGUUUUGUAAAAGUCUUUUUUCUAUUGAAGUCACUGGAAACAAAAGCAAGAUCUCUUACACAAGUGGGUCUCAUCUCUCACCAAUAAGAAUCAAUUUGGUCACACAACACACAAAUGUUACAAACAGUGAAACAACAACAUAUAUGAAUAUAUUGCUAUGUUCAUGUUGUAGAAUUUACUAAACUGGAAUUCUGUCUUUCAGGUAGUUCAAAACCGCUUUUGUUCCUCUUUCUAGGAUUGGUCUCCGGAUGCUGUUUUCAAUAAUGUUGGUGAAAAGGGAAAAAAUAAAUCAAACUUGUUGUUUGUAUAAUGAAUGAAUUUGAGUUGAUUUUAAAUGGAUGGAAGAAAAUACCUUCUUAAUGGGUUCCCAUCAAGCCUUAGAACCUCAAGUGUUGGCUCAAGCAAACCCUAAGAAACAACACAUGAUUUUGUUAUCAGACAAUUUUAAUGCAAUUCCUAUGUUCCAGAUAGAAAGAAAGGCGGCUUACCAGUUCUGGAGGAAGACUUGAAAUGUUGUUGUUGGAUAUGUCCAGAUGUUUGAGUGAAGUCAUCUUCUUGAUAUCCUGAUUGAGAAAAAAAAAACUUCGGUUAAUUAGCUGACUGAUACAAUUUCCACUAAACCACAAAGUAGACAGCUUAUAGCAAACAUACCUUGGGAAUCGAUUGAAGUAAAUUCUGGCUCAGGUCAAGGAUAAGCAGGUUAGAUAAGUUGAGGAUAUCUUCAGGGACUUCAGACAGCUGGACUCGGCUGUCAAGUGAAGUAUCAUCUUAAACUAGACAACAUUAACUAAAUGGGCAAUGAAUAAUGUAACGUACAAAAACCAACCUCAAAUAAAGCUCUUGUAGUUGUGGCAAGAAGGAAAACUUGGGAUGCACUCCGGUGCCCAAGGAAGCUGGAUUACCACUUAGGUCGAGAAUCUGAAGCCCAGAGACUGUUUGAAACCCAUCCAGUGAAAUCUAAGAAGCAAAUGAAAAAAGUUAGGUGAUGGAUUAGCGUCUUCUAUUGUGGCAGCUAUAGUCAACUCUUUAAAUCUUUUCUCCACAAACAUCACCAACCUGUUUCAGGAGAUUGUUAUCUAACUUCAAGCACACAAGAGCAGGAAGUGACUUCAAGAUUUCACCGGGCCAGUCUUUAAUUUUGUUCCUUGACAAAAUCAAAGUCUGCAAAAUACAAAGAUAACAUGAAAUCUUUAGCAACACGACAUGUUUUAUAGCAAAGGCAUAUGUAGCAGAUGAAAUAGAAUUAGUGUUUGUGGAAAACACAGUUACCUGAAGGGAAGCAGAUGAAGAAAGCUGAGCAGGCAAUUCCUCGAUAGAGUUCUUAGAAAGAUUAACUUUCGUGAUUUCACCAGACUCCCAAACUUGUGAAGGGACAGCAGUCAAGUUGAGACCUUCCAGAGAAAGUUCCUGGAGUUGUGUGCAGCGUCAAUCGAUUAAGAUCAUGAAUUCCUGUUAUCUAUUACGAAUACGGAACUCUUGUUAGGAUGGUGCUGAGAUCUGUGAAUUCACUUACCUUUGUAGAUAUGGACAUACGCGCUGCUGAAGCAAUUACGUUUUCCUUGGACGGAGUGCUUGCACUAGUUUCUACAAAUGGCAACCUUAACAGUUAGUCACAACCUCUUAGAUGAGAGAGGGAGAGAGAGAGUGAUGGUGGACCAAAGUACCUUCACCAUUAGAUAGACGGCUCCUAAGAUACUUUAAUAGAGCAGCUGUAGGACCAUUUACUAACGUGCUGAAGAGUUAAAAAACGAAAGAAAUAUUGGUCUUUUGAAGUAGCAAUCAAACUAAGACCAAGGAAUCAAGAAACCAGACAGUGGGAGAGUUAAAAUUUACCUUCUAAGGGUUCUCAAAGGAUUGCCAACAAGCACAAGCUUUUUCAGAGUAGUCAUGUUUCCUACAAGAAAAGGAGAGAACAAGAAUCAUUAUGCUAAUUGCUAUUUUAAUGAUGUCAAAUGUAAAUUCAUUAACAAGCAGGGGAUGCAAAAAUGGCAAGUACCGAGCUCAGGAUGCAAUCCUGUCAAUGAAUUAUUUGAGAGAUCAAGGUACGAGAGCUUCAAUUUACAUCCUCCAACUGGAUAUUCCUUGAGCUGAAAAUCAGGAGAAAUCACAAGGGUGCAGGCCAUUAUUUAAAAGAUAGUGAUUGUCACUAUAUAAAGGAUUAUAUAAUGACAUAGAAUGUCAGAAAACAAGAAAUGAGCACAAUACCUGAUUAGAACGAAGAUCAAGUGUUCCUAGACGUGAUAGAUCUCCAAUCUCUGCUGGUAAUGUCGAUAGUGAGUUCAUUCUGGCAUAAAGUACAGAGAAGAGAAUGUCAGUAGUGAAAGUCUCUAAUUAGAUACCAUGUAGGACCAAACAAAUCUUUCUUAAGAAACAGUUAGUAGAGAAUGACCCCAAAUAGAACUCCACAAGAGAAGAGCAACCGCCUAUUGAUGGUGGGAUAGACGAGAUUUCUGCAUGAAUCGAAUAAGAAAACAACUCAGCAACUACAUAGAAGGAAUGAGUUACAGAAACGUUAUCUCCUCAGAUUUUACUUACUGUUCUGAUGAAGGUCAAGCCGGAUAAGACGUGAAAGGCUUCCGAUAUUUUGUGGCAGAUCAACCAACAUAUUCUUAGCUGCAGAGUGAAAAUAUAUUAACGUGUGUCCCCACAAUCUUUCAGUAUAUAAGAAAACGCAGAAUAAAAAACUGAAUAUCAUUACAUGCAUUAAGCUCUGUAAGCAUGGUCCACGAUGCUAUCUGUCUCUCAGAGAGCGCAGUGAGCUUGUUUCCCUGCAACAAGCAUAAAUUACAUUGGUACAUCAUCUAUCUAUGAAAACCAUUGCCUUCUCUUUCUUUCAGAAGGCUAUACUGCCCUUGGUUAUUCCAUACUUGUAUUCUAACUAUGUAUUUUCAAGAUUAAUAAAGUUCUAAUUUCGUCGGGAAAAAAAGUCGAAACUAUAAGUUAGAGAAAGAAAAAGACACCAAUCUCAUACCUCCACAUCCAGCUUGGAUAAUUUGGAACAGUUGGCCAUGUCUUCAUGCAAACUGGAAAUUUGAUUAUUUGAGGCCUGUGGAUUAUAGUGAAAGGACAACCAUUGCCAUGAAAAAUAUGAGAGAAAGUUAAAAAAAAAUCAACUGAUCCAAAAGCAACACAUAACAACCUUCAAAUCAGAUAAGUCUAAGCAUCUUCCAAGAGAUUCUGGAAGUUCUUUAAGCCGAUUGCUUGAACAGUCAAGCCUGAGGCAAUCACAAGAAAUUUAAAUCAAUUAUGAGCUGUGAAAGUUUAAUGAAUCCAGUGCCCUAUUCUAAUUCUAUGCCAGGAUUAACUUACUUGACAAGAGAAGUUGCAGAACUAAUUUGCUCAGGAAGUUCUGAGAUGGAGUUGAAGGACACAUCCAACGACUUCAUCGCCGUAAGCCUACGAAUGAGAGAGCAUUUGACCAUUUAUUACCAAAGUCAACAAAAUGGAAGUUAACAAGAAAGCUCCAAAAACACUCACUCCCCAAUGGCAGCAGGAAGUUGAGACAGUUUGUUGUGACUGACAUUUAACACAACCAAACAAGCAAGGUUCUUAAGAUCUUCUCUUAAAACCUCAAUUUCGUUAUGUGCCAAAAUAAGCUUCUGUAAAUCAACCGCCUGCAAUGUGCAAGAUGGAGGAAACUUAAAACAUUUCAAGAAGUGUGAUGAAAGAAGAAGAAUGCAUUAGUGAAAAAGGAUUUGAAUUGAUCACCUCCCACCAGUUUUCUCCUUCUCCGGUUGUUUCCAGACAUUGAUACACCUCUGUAGGUACCUCCCUGCAAAAUUGAAAUCACCCUCUCAAAUCAAAGACUUUGCAGCAGCUCAUAUAAAAUGGGAUGAUCUAGUGAGCACAAGUCGAUACAAGAUCUGAUUCUAAGCAAAACCUUUUGAAUUAUAAAAAAGUAUUUACAAGCAAAAAAAAAAAGAAAAAGAUUCAUCAUUUACUGGAGAUGCAUCUAGUUUUUCUUAAAUGAUUACAUACACAUUCCCCGAUUAAAAGAUAAUAUUCACAUUCUAUCCAAUUUCGAAAACUUAAAAGAAAAAGAAAAAAAACAAUGGAAGCUAGUGGAUCUAACCGGAGAGAUCGAUUGGAAAGGUUGAGCGAACCGGAUGUUCGAGCUGCCUUCAGAAUCCGAUCCAUUGCCAGACACAAACACUCUCUGUGCCUGUUCUUCUUCGUCUCCUUCUCUAAUCGCUUUAUGAACAAAGAUGUUGAACGGCGUCGUUUCGAGAAUACGCUUUUUUUUUUAUCAAUCGAGAAUGCGCUUUAAUAAAAAAAAAUUCACAAUUUAAUUCGUAUUUUUUUAUAUUAUAAUACAGCUUGACUGGGUCGGGUCUAUGGGCCGGCCUAUUAAACCAGAGAGACGAUCAAAAUAUUGAACAAAAAGUUAUGCGAGUACGUGAAGCCAAGUCUUCUUUUCUUGUGCUCUUUCUACCGUCUUUUUUGCUAUCGUUACUGUAACCAGGUUCUGGUCCGCGCUAUACGCGGAUAAUGUUUCAAUAUCUUUUUUGGAAAUAGAGAUUAUAUUUUAAAAUUCUGGUGUUUCAAUCGAUUAGAGGUGGAAACUAUUAUAAUUUAAUAUUAAAAUUAUUUUUAAGUUGAUAAAUAAAAAGAAAAAAUUACUAAAGAGUGAUGUUUUAAUUAAGAAUUUUUUUAGUUUUCUACUUUUCUUUGUUAUUAGUUUUUAUUUACAACAAUCUUUAAAAAUUGUUACAUUGUUUUCAUAUAUUAUGUUUUCUAAAAACAUCACAUUAGGAAUAGUAUAUUUUAAAAGUGUAACAGAUGAACUGUUCCAUUUUUUGAUUCAAAGUUGUUCAUAUAUAUAUAUUGAAAUAAUAUAAAGUUUAAGUGUAUAUUUGUAUGUCAUAUAUGCCAUUUAGUGUAGCCAUAGUGAUUUUUAUUGUUUUAUUGUUUUGGUUUAUUUUUAUUAUACGCUUUAACUUUUCUUAAAAUAUUUUAAUAUGUUCUAAUUGAGAGUUGUUAAUGAUAGACCAUAUUGAUUUGAAAUAUUUCUAUCAAAACUGAUUAUAUAUAUAUAUAUAUAUAUAAUAUUUAAUAUUUUAGUAAUGUGUACAUAUAAAAGAAGUUAUCAUAUGUAUUUUAACUAACUUAAUUUUUUUGAACAGAAUGAUUAGUACUCUUAACUAUUACUCCCUCUGCUUCCGAAAGAAUGAUAUUCUAGAGUAUUCACGCAUAUUAAGAAAAAAAUUAACUUUUUACAAUUGAAUUUAUUAUUUAUUUUACUAUACAUUUUCUAAUAAAUAUCAACCAAUAGUAUUCAACCAAUUCAAAUAUUUUCAAUUAAUGUUUGUUAAAAGUAUACAACUUUUCAACAUUAACUACUAAAAGUACCUUAAUUUUUUUUGAAAAUCUAUCAUUUUAGAACAAAAAAUAAUCUAGAAAAUCCUACUUUCAGGAACAGAGAGAGUAUAUUUCUUUAUGUAGCAUAUUUGUAGUUUCUAUUAGUGAUUUUUUUAUUUGGUUUCCAUAACAUGUACUCUUUGGUAGAAUUCAUUGAGUUAGUAGAACUUAGUUUUUGGUUGGUAUUUGUAGAUUUUUAUGAAACUAAUCAGUGCUCUUACUGUUUUUUUCGUUUAAUAGUUUUUAGUUGUAUACUCCAGUAUAUUUCUAUAUGUAGUAACUAUUUUUUAAAUAAUGAGGAUACAUAACGAUUAAAAGGUUAUAUCAGCUAAUCACCUAUUCAAAAGAAUGAUUAAAAGUUAAAAACUUGACAUAGCUUUUUGAAGGUAAUGGAUAUUUGUGUUUCUGAUUUGUUUCUAUAGAAGUUGUUUUUACUUGGUUGAUGUUAACUUUCUAAUGAGUUAGUAUUGAUAUCGAUUUAAUUUUAACAAAGCUUAUUUUGAACUAAAAUAUGUAGCUAUAUUUUCUUAUUUGGUGUAUUUGAAGCGUAUGAUUUUAUAAAUAAAAAUGAGUAUGCUUAAUAUAAUGAUUACUCGAGUCAUUUACAAUGUAAAUUUUAAAUUGUAGUUUUAAAAUUACCUUUUUACUUUAAAAUUGGCAUAUAAUAAAAAUUUAGAGCAUAUGAAUUUUCUCUUAAGAUACAAAAAAUUGUAAAAUGAAUUAUUUCAUUUUAUUAAAUUAAAAGGUAAUUUGAUCUUCUGUGUGUUAUUCUUAUUUGCCUAUUUAAAAAAAAACUAUUAUAAGAAAAAAAACAAUGGAAGCUAGUGGAUCUAACCGGAGAGAUCGAUUGGAAAGGUUGAGCGAACCGGAUGUUCGAGCUGCCUUCAGAAUCCGAUCCAUUGCCAGACACAAACACUCUCUGUGCCUGUUCUUCUUCGUCUCCUUCUCUAAUCGCUUUAUGAACAAAGAUGUUGAACGGCGUCGUUUCGAGAAUACGCUUUUUUUUUUAUCAAUCGAGAAUGCGCUUUAAUAAAAAAAAAUUCACAAUUUAAUUCGUAUUUUUUUAUAUUAUAAUACAGCUUGACUGGGUCGGGUCUAUGGGCCGGCCUAUUAAACCAGAGAGACGAUCAAAAUAUUGAACAAAAAGUUAUGCGAGUACGUGAAGCCAAGUCUUCUUUUCUUGUGCUCUUUCUACCGUCUUUUUUGCUAUCGUUACUGUAACCAGGUUCUGGUCCGCGCUAUACGCGGAUAAUGUUUCAAUAUCUUUUUUGGAAAUAGAGAUUAUAUUUUAAAAUUCUGGUGUUUCAAUCGAUUAGAGGUGGAAACUAUUAUAAUUUAAUAUUAAAAUUAUUUUUAAGUUGAUAAAUAAAAAGAAAAAAUUACUAAAGAGUGAUGUUUUAAUUAAGAAUUUUUUUAGUUUUCUACUUUUCUUUGUUAUUAGUUUUUAUUUACAACAAUCUUUAAAAAUUGUUACAUUGUUUUCAUAUAUUAUGUUUUCUAAAAACAUCACAUUAGGAAUAGUAUAUUUUAAAAGUGUAACAGAUGAACUGUUCCAUUUUUUGAUUCAAAGUUGUUCAUAUAUAUAUAUUGAAAUAAUAUAAAGUUUAAGUGUAUAUUUGUAUGUCAUAUAUGCCAUUUAGUGUAGCCAUAGUGAUUUUUAUUGUUUUAUUGUUUUGGUUUAUUUUUAUUAUACGCUUUAACUUUUCUUAAAAUAUUUUAAUAUGUUCUAAUUGAGAGUUGUUAAUGAUAGACCAUAUUGAUUUGAAAUAUUUCUAUCAAAACUGAUUAUAUAUAUAUAUAUAUAUAUAAUAUUUAAUAUUUUAGUAAUGUGUACAUAUAAAAGAAGUUAUCAUAUGUAUUUUAACUAACUUAAUUUUUUUGAACAGAAUGAUUAGUACUCUUAACUAUUACUCCCUCUGCUUCCGAAAGAAUGAUAUUCUAGAGUAUUCACGCAUAUUAAGAAAAAAAUUAACUUUUUACAAUUGAAUUUAUUAUUUAUUUUACUAUACAUUUUCUAAUAAAUAUCAACCAAUAGUAUUCAACCAAUUCAAAUAUUUUCAAUUAAUGUUUGUUAAAAGUAUACAACUUUUCAACAUUAACUACUAAAAGUACCUUAAUUUUUUUUGAAAAUCUAUCAUUUUAGAACAAAAAAUAAUCUAGAAAAUCCUACUUUCAGGAACAGAGAGAGUAUAUUUCUUUAUGUAGCAUAUUUGUAGUUUCUAUUAGUGAUUUUUUUAUUUGGUUUCCAUAACAUGUACUCUUUGGUAGAAUUCAUUGAGUUAGUAGAACUUAGUUUUUGGUUGGUAUUUGUAGAUUUUUAUGAAACUAAUCAGUGCUCUUACUGUUUUUUUCGUUUAAUAGUUUUUAGUUGUAUACUCCAGUAUAUUUCUAUAUGUAGUAACUAUUUUUUAAAUAAUGAGGAUACAUAACGAUUAAAAGGUUAUAUCAGCUAAUCACCUAUUCAAAAGAAUGAUUAAAAGUUAAAAACUUGACAUAGCUUUUUGAAGGUAAUGGAUAUUUGUGUUUCUGAUUUGUUUCUAUAGAAGUUGUUUUUACUUGGUUGAUGUUAACUUUCUAAUGAGUUAGUAUUGAUAUCGAUUUAAUUUUAACAAAGCUUAUUUUGAACUAAAAUAUGUAGCUAUAUUUUCUUAUUUGGUGUAUUUGAAGCGUAUGAUUUUAUAAAUAAAAAUGAGUAUGCUUAAUAUAAUGAUUACUCGAGUCAUUUACAAUGUACAUUUUAAAUUGUAGUUUUAAAAUUACCCUUUUACUUUAAAGUUGACAUAUAAUAUAAAUUUAGAACAUAUGAAUUUUCUUUUAAGAUACAAAAAAUUGUAAAAUGAAUUAUUUCAUUUUAUUAAAUUAAAAGGUAAUUUGAUCUUCUGUGUGUUAUUCUUAUUUGCCUAUUUAAAAAAAAACUAUUAUAAUUUGAUGGAAAACAAUACAAUUUAAAAAUACAUAAAUAGUUAUAUAAACAGAUUAUAGAUACAAAUAUAAGAGAAUUAUAGAUAUUAACUUUAUUUGUUUGAGAAGCUAACAACUGAAACAUUAGAUUUUUUUUUUGCAUAUUUUUUAAAGUAUAUCUCAUAUAUUUACCAAAUUCAGAGUGUUGCAAACAUAAAUAACAAAAUAUUUGAAAACGAAAGCUUAAAUUCGUAUAUUGUUGCAAUCAAAAUCUCUGAAUGUUUUUCUUUCUCCUCCGCCAGCAAAAAAAACAAAAAUACAAAAACAGAGUUCGGUCUUUAUGACACCUCAAAUGUCCAAGCACAACCUUCCACUAAGAAAAUAUUCUUCCACAUGUUGUUACAAACCGGUGGUGCUUUUGAUGGAUUAGUAACCCUUGAAGGUUUUUUCUUACAUUUUUGUGCUUCUAAUCCUUUACCCAGCCACCUGCUUUGUCAUUAAUCUCCACGUUCCUCAGUCUUGUUGCUUUCUUUUUCUUCUUACCAUCACUCUUGUCUUUUACAACCACUGCCUCUGCCGCAGCCACAACCAACUCUGCUGAAACAGAUAAUUUUUUUUUUUAAAUAAUCACUCAGCAAAGAUGAAUCUGAUACAAACAAAUACUUGUGACAUGAACAAAAUCGUCUAGCAAUCACACCCACAUUGCAUUUCAAAAUGCACCUUCAAAGAUAGAUUAGUCAUAGGAAUAAUGCUAAUGAGAAGAUCAAAUAGAUAAACACUCAAUUAGAAGUCGUAAAACUUCCACAAAUAAAUGAUCAAACAUAGAAAUUAAAAAUUAACCUACGAGCAAGGAAGAUGCAUUCUUUACCUCAAAAUUUCUGAAGAGCAUUAAUUUAGAUGACACCCUUGUGUUCAAGCUUUCGGUUCCCUCAGCUGUGGCCAAUACUCCAGCCAUAGUGGUUUCUGAGAUGUCACUCAGUUCUCUGACUAAGAGCAUCGCCCGAGCUCCUGGUGUACACUAGAUGAAUCUGAUUUAAUAUUACUAUAUAUACUCAUAAGACUUAUCGAACAUAUGUAGAAUAGCAUAAGCAGUUACCUUAUAGACUUCUCAAGCAGUGGGUCACCUUCAACAAUAUUAUGGUAAGACUUUGUCAAGACAUGUUAUGGUAAGACUUUGUCAAAACUGUGUACUUAAAAUAAGUAUUCGAGUCAAAGGAUAACUCAAUUUUGAAUCCUUUAGGCUCUUCAGUUAUGCACCAUCUAAGUGAUUUGAGAGCCUAAUCAGUAAUCACGCUCUGUGGCCUGACAUCAAGGACAUUACGCUAGAGUUAUUGUCCUCAGAAGUGGUAUCAUUGUUGUUCAAGGCCAUCAGCCAAAAACGUGGAACUCCUUUCUCUGCAAUGUGUAACACAUGGAAACAUGUUAGAUCGUUUUUUUCUUUUAUAUAUUUAAGGGAAAAAAAGACACAGUAUUCCUCAAGUUACCAUCUUGAGUAUCUUCCUCUCCUUGGUCCAUCAUCCAUCUUCGUAUCAUCUGGAGUUGGUUUGACAUCAGUAGUUCCAUUCACUGUCUCGUAAGGCUGCGCAUACCGAGACAGAAUUCAAGAGAAAGUUUAAGAUUAUAUAUAUAUAUAUAUAUAUAUAACACUGCUGCUGAUAAGUAAGAUAAGGAAAAUAAAAAAAUAGAAUAUACAGAGAUGCUCAUGGUUUUCCAUUGCUUAGAUAUAUUGGUUUUGAAUUUAACAGAUGAAAAUAACACGGUCCCACAUAAAACUUUGAAUUUCUUACUAACAAUUACCUUGAUAUACAAAGCUUGAUAUAUCUUUUCAUACUUGGCUUCAAGAACAACACAAUCAUGAGAUAUAUCCAUGUGUUAAUGCAAUUAGUUUGGGGUUUUGAUUCUUGAAUAGGGAUAAUAUAGGAAUAGAAAAUAGAAUCACUACCUAUUUGUAGAUGAGCCGCAUCUCUACAGCAAUCAGACACUUCCGCCUGCCGUGUGCAAUCUCCCGAAAAUGGAUGUGGUUGAAGAUGAUUUUGGUCUCUCCCUACCCGUAGCAACGUCGUUAAAGACCACAAUGGAGGGUUUUGUCGUCGUUGAUUUUGAUGUCUUGUUAGCCAUGGAUGCGAUAGCUGAUACUUAUUCUUGUAUGCGGAGUGAAUUUUAUUGUGGGAAGCUCAAGAAGGUGAAGAGGACAUCUGUUUGGUACUGGAAAAUUAAUGAAGGAAGAUUGAUGAUUAUUGUGGGAGAAAGCGUUUCGCCAGAGAUCGCUAAAACUGUUGUCGUUAGGUCUUCUUUUGGGAAGGCGGAGAAAACAGAGAAUUUGGGUCACUUAACGGGUACAGUGAGUCUAAGCUGAGCUUCGACAUAUUUUUUAGGAAAUUCACAUCUAGUAAAAAUUAUAGAUUUAGUUAAUUGACAUUCUGAUGUGUAACAUUGAUUGGCUCUAAAUAUUUUAGGUGACGUGGCAUAGCUUAGGAACCUCCAAUUUAGUUCCUUUUAUAUAGUAGAGAUGAUGAUUCCGAGAAUGAUUGAUCAUCAUGACCAUGGCAGAGCGAUGAUUAUGUCACACUAUAUAUAUCAAUAGUAGGCAAUUCAAUUACAGUUCCAGUUGCCGGCUUCUUUACUAUUUCUGGUCUUAAUGAAAGUUCAUUUAUUUAAAACUUUGUGUUGGUAAUGUUGGAUUAUUCAACUUAAUGUGACGCUUUUAUCAAACCAAAAUAUGACAUAUAUCCUUAUGAGUGAGAUUAUAUUAUCUUUUGUGUUUCUAUGGACACUGAAAGCUUAGACGAGCAUCUCGUUUGAAGUGGGUGCAAGAGCUUCUUCAGCCACGGUUCCUUUGUCUGACAUGUGCUUGUCUUGUCCUGAAACGAAAGGUGCACAAUGGGAACAGCUUGGUGGUUGUUGGUAUAUAGGAGGGCGGUAAUAAGGUACGCUUGGGGUGCAACCACCGGUUUGGCAUCCCCCGGAACCAUAACCAGGAUUAACCCUGACCCCUGGAAUCACAAAACCGGGAAUCUGUGUGCCUGGAACCGUUAUGGGAGGGAUUGAUAUGCUUGGGACAACUACACUUGGUACACUACCACUAGAGCCACCUCCUAUACCGAUACCAAUCCCUUCUCCUGAACCACUACCUUGUCCAAUGCCUUCACCGUAUCCACUACCUGGAGCUCCAAAGACAGGACCACAGUUCGGUUGGCCAGACCCGGAUCCUCUUCCUUCUCCAUAGCCACUGCCUCCACUGGAGCCAAUGCCUUCUCCAUAUCCACUGCCUCCGCUUGAGCCAAUGCCUUCUCCAUAUCCACCGCCACUUCCAUAGCCCCUACCUUCACCAUACCCCAUAGGCUUAACUGUUUGGUCAGGAUCUUCUGGUUCACUCGCCAGGGACUGCACUUUAUGAUCAGGCUUUUCUUUGUGAUCGAGCAUAGUUUUAGGAUCAGGUUCUUCUAGCUCACCCCACAUGGGUUGCAGUUCAUGAUCAGGCAUGACCUUGUCCUCAGGCUCCUCUGGUUCACCUGGCAUGGACCGCAGCAUAUGGUCAGGCAUGAUCUUGUCCUCAGGCUCCUCUGGUUCACCCGGCAUGGACCGCAGCAUAUGAUCAGGCAUGAUCUUGUCCUCAGGCUCCUCUGGUUCACCUGGCAUGGAGUGCAUUUUGCGAUCAGGCAUGAUCUUGUCCUCAGGCUCUUCCGGUUCACCCGGCAUGGACUGGAGUCUAUGAUCAGGCAUGAUCUUGUCCUCAGGCUCCUCUGGUUCACCCGGCAUGGACCGCAGCAUAUGAUCAGGCAUGAUCUUGUCCUCAGGCUCCUCUGGUUCACCUGGCAUGGAUUGCAUUUUGCGAUCAGGCAUGAUCUUGUCAUCAGGCUCUUCCGGUUCACCCGGCAUGGACUGGAGUUUAUAAUCAGGCAUGAUCUUGUCCUCAGGUUCUUCUGGUUCACCCGGCAUGGACUGGAGUUUAUGAUCAGGCAUGAUCUUGUCCUCAGGCUCCUCUGGUUCACCCGGCAUGGACUGCAGCAUAUGGUCAGGCAUGAUCUUGUCCUCAGGCUCUUCUGGUUCACCCGGCAUCGACUGGAGUUUAUGAUCAGGCAUGAUCUUGUCCUCAGGCUCCUCUGGUUCACCCGGCAUGGAUUGCAUUUUGCAAUCAGGCAUGAUCUUGUCCUCAGGCUCUUCCGGUUCACCCGGCAUGGACUGCAGCUUAUGGUCAGGCUUCACUUUGUGCUCAGAUUCUACAUUGAACAUCUCAUGAUCUUGCACGCUCAAACUAACCAUCCCAGGCUUCACAACAUGGUUCAUCUCUAGCUUUCUUGCCUCCAUCAUUGAGAGAUCCUUGAGAACCCUGCGUGCCAAAGUUGAACUAAAGAAGCAUAGUAAGAGAACGAAUCCAAAGCAUCUGCCUUGGUGUCCCUUUG
rnacentral:lncRNA from 1 species